AGUAGAGUAGCUCAGUGGUUGAGACGUUGGACUUCUGAUCAGAAGGUUGUGAGUUCAAAUCCCAGCACUGCCA